rnacentral:rRNA from 1 species
UACAGAGGGUGCGAGCGUUGUUCGGAAUCACUGGGCGUAAAGCGCGUGUAGGCGGCCUGCUAAGUCUGAUGUGAAAGCCCGAGGCUCACCCUCGGAAGCGCAUUGGAAACUGGCAGACUGGAGUCCCGGAGAGGAGGGUGGAAUUCCUGGUGUAGCGGUGAAAUGCGUAGAUAUCAGGAGGAACACCGGUGGCGAAGGCGGCCCUCUGGACGGUGACUGACGCUGAGACGCGAAAGCGUGGGGAGCAAACAGG